rnacentral:rRNA from 1 species
GAAUGCUGACAUAAGUAACGAUAAAGCGGGUGAAAAGCCCGCUCGCCGGAAGACCAAGGGUUCCUGUCCAACGUUAAUCGGGGCAGGGUGAGUCGACCCCUAAGGCGAGGCCGAAAGGCGUAGUCGAUGGGAAACAGGUUAAUAUUCCUGUACUUGGUGUUACUGCGAAGGGGGGACGGAGAAGGCUAUGUUAGCCGGGCGACGGUUGUCCCGGUUUAAGCAUGUAGGCGGAGGUUCCAGGUAAAUCCGGUACCUUUUAACGCUGAGGUGUGAUGACGAGGCACUACGGUGCUGAAGUAACAAAUGCCCUGCUUCCAGGAAAAGCCUCUAAGCAUCAGGUAACAC